CGUGUAGGCGGACCAUCAAGUCGGAUGUGAAAACUGUCGGCUCAACUGACAGCCUGCACUCGAUACUGGUGGUCUUGAGUACAGGAGAGGAGAGUGGAAUUCCAGGUGUAGCGGUGAAAUGCGUAGAUAUCUGGAAGAACACCAGUAGCGAAGGCGGCUCUCUGGACUGAUACUGACGCUAAAGCGCGAAGGCUUGGGGAACAAACA
rnacentral:rRNA from 1 species